rnacentral:tRNA from 1 species
CGCGAGGUAGAGCAGUUGGCAGCUCGUCGGGCUCAUAACCCGGAGGUCCCAGGUUCGAGUCCUGGCCUCGCUA